rnacentral:rRNA from 1 species
AACGAACGCUGGCGGCGUGCCUAACACAUGCAAGUCGAACGAAACCUUCGGGUCUAGUGGCGCACGUGUGCGUAACGCCUGGUAACCUGCCCUUAAGUUCGGAGUACCUCCCCGAAAGGGGUCCUAAUACAGGAUAAUGUAUUCGGGCCAAAGAUUUAUCGCCUUUGGCUGGGCCCGCGUUAGCUUGGCUAGUUGGUAGGGUACAAGCCUACCAAUGCCACGAUCCAUAGCUGGUCUGAGAGGAUGCUCCGCCACGCUGGGGCUGCGACCCGGCCCACUCUGCUACGCGACGGAGCGGUAUGUAGUAUUGGACGAUGAGCCCAAGUCUGGUCAAGCAGUGUCGCGUGAGUCAUCCAGCCCUUUGGGUUGUAAAGUUCUCUUACCCGAGAUGAUAAUGACAGUACUGGGUGAAUAAGCUCCGGCUAACUACGUG